GUUCCCAGCAGAGGACAGUUUUCGCUCUUGCUGGGUGAGUGGAGGUUCUGGUUCUUGACAUAGGGGUGCGAGACAAGAGAUGAAUUGUUUCUAAUGAGUGUGACAAUGAAAUGCUUUAACAAAGAUAUAUCUUUGUUUAUUCGGUUGGACCCUGGUCUGAAUAAAGUCUAGCCAUGGAGGUACUUCAGUCUUGGCAGAUGGGGAGCUGCUUUUGAAAACCCUCUGUGGAGGCACUUCAGCCUUGGCCGGUUGAACCGUAAUUUGGAACUUGUCUUACCAAGGAGCUAUUUGCUGUUGGUAAUUGCUAGUUCUUGUGGUAGAGGGGAAGGUUACAAGAUCAAUAAUGUUAGUACUACCUAUGGCUGAAGUGGCAGUGCAGCCCUUUCAGGUGAGUGGGGGUUUCUGGUACUCCCGGUAGGUGCCUUAGUCAAGGGUUUAAUUUCUUUUGAGAUGCAUAGGGAUUUGCUUCAGCCUAGGCUUCUU